UUCCUACGGGAGGCUGCAGUGGGGAAUAUUGGGCAAUGGGGGAAACCCUGACCCAGCAACGCCGCGUGAGGGAAGAAGGCUUUCGGGUCGUAAACCUCUGUCCCAUGGGAAGAGCAGUAGACGGUACCAUGGGAGGAAGCCCCGGCUAACUACGUGCCAGCAGCCGCGGUAAUACGUAGGGGGCGAGCGUUGUCCGGAAUGACUGGGCGUAAAGGGCGCGUAGGUGGCCUUACAAGUCUGGAGUGAAAGUCCCGGUUUUAAGGUGGGAAUGGCUUUGGAAACUGUGAGGCUUGAGUGUGGGAGAGGAUAGCGGAAUUCCCGGUGUAGCGGUGAAAUGCGUAGAGAUCGGGAGGAACACCAGUGGCGAAGGCGGCUAUCUGGACCAAGACUGACACUGAAGCGCGAAAGCGUGGGUAGCAAACAGGAUUAGAUACCCGAGUAGUCC
rnacentral:rRNA from 2 species